rfam:Hordeum vulgare subsp. vulgare, WGS project CAJW01000000 data, contig: morex_contig_37578
AUUAUACUCCCUCCGUCCCAAAAUUCUUGUCUUAAAUUUGUCUAGAUAUGAAUGUAUCUAGUCACGUUUUUGUAUUUAGAUAAAUCCAUUUCUAGACAAACCUAAGACAAGAAUUUUGGGACAAAGGGAGUAAUGA